rnacentral:rRNA from 1 species
AACGUACGCUGGCGGCACGCCUAACACAUGCAAGUCGAACGAAGUAGCAAUACUUAGUGGCAGACGGGUGAGUAACAUGUAGGUAUCUGCCCUUUGGCCUGGAAUAACACGAGGAAACUUGUGCUAAUACCGGAUAAGUCUUUACGGAGAAAGCUUUAUGCACCAUUGGAUGAGCCUGCACUUGAUUAGUUUGUUGGUGGGGUAAUGGCCUACCAAGACUGUGAUCAAUAGCUGAUUUGAGAGGAUGAUCAGCCACAUUGGGACUGAGACACGGCCCAAACUCCUACGGGAGGCAGCAGUGGGGAAUCUUGCACAAUGGAGGAAACUCUGAUGCAGCGAUGCCGCGUGAGUGAAGAAGGCCCUUGGGUUGUAAAGCUCUUUCGUCGGGGAAGAAAAUGACUGUACCCGAAUAAGAAGGUCCGGCUAACUUCGUGCCAGCAGCCGCGGUAAUACGAAGGGACCUAGCGUAGUUCGGAAUUACUGGGCUUAAAGAGUUCGUAGGUGGUUGAAAAAGUUAGUGGUGAAAUCCCAGAGCUUAACUCUGGAACUGCCAUUAAAACUUUUCAGCUAGAGUAUGAUAGAGGAAAGCAGAAUUUCUAGUGUAGAGGUGAAAUUCGUAGAUAUUAGAAAGAAUACCAAUUGCGAAGGCAGCUUUCUGGAUCAUUACUGACACUGAGGAACGAAAGCAUGGGUAGCGAAGAGGAUUAGAUACCCUCGUAGUCCAUGCCGUAAACGAUGUGUGUUAGACGUUGGAAAUUUAUUUUCAGUGUCGCAGGGAAACCGAUAAACACACCGCCUGGGGAGUACGACCGCAAGGUUAAAACUCAAAUGAAUUGACGGGGACCCGCACAAGUAGUGGAGCAUGUGGUUUAAUUCGAAGAUACGCGCAGAACCUUACCAACACUUGACAUGUUCGUCGCGACUCUAAGAGAUUAGAGUUUUCGGUUCGGCCGGACGAAACACAGGUGCUGCAUGGCUGUCGUCAGCUCGUGUCGUGAGAUGUUGGGUUAAGUCCCGCAACGAGCGCAACCCUCACUUUUAGUUGCCAUCAUUAAGUUGGGCACUCUGAAAGAACUGCCGGUGAUAAGCUGGAGGAAGGUGGGGAUGACGUCAAGUCCUCAUGGCCCUUACGUGUUGGGCUACACACGUGCUACAAUGGUAUCUACAACAGGAAGCAAGACUGCGAAGUUAAGCAAAUCCCUAAAAGAUACCUCAGUUCGGAUUGCACUCUGCAACUCGAGUGCAUGAAGCUGGAAUUACUAGUAAUCGUGGAUCAGCGUGCCACGGUGAAUGCGUUCCCGGGUCU